UUACAGCCAUAUCAACGUGAAAUACCGAUUCCUGUAUGAUCAAUGAAGUUAAGCAACACUGAGCCUGGGCAGCACCUAGAUGAGUGACUGCUUGGGAAUACUGUGUGCUGAA